rnacentral:lncRNA from 1 species
UGGGGAGCGUGGGCGCGUUAAGUUAUAGGGAAAACCCCAAUUCCUGAGACGUGGAUGAGGGCGCAUUCUAGUCUGUGAUUCCGAAACCAGCCAUGAUUCGCUGUGAGCUUCCCACCCCUGUGCUGGAAGGCGCCAAGUUCUGAACACCUGUGGCCUCCUCGUGGCCUCCAGGUCCUCUGCGGGAAACACCCAGCGUCCUUUGUCUGACCAACUCCUACACGUCAAUCACCGGCAAUUCGGACGCCACCUCUUCCAGGAAAUUUCCCUGAAUCUGCAGAAAGUUACUCCUUCCCUGAGGAUGGAUGUCAGUUGCUGGAUUCGUGAACCUUCCCUUUGCCUUCAGUCCCACCAGUCUAUGGUCCAAACAUAAGAUCCUUUAAACUCCCGUAUGAGCCCUCCAGUGGGAGCUUCCGCAUAAGUCAUCUAUGCUGGGUCAGAGGAAACGUUCAGUCCAAGGGCAAGUUCAAGUCCACAGUCCCUGCUCUAAGGACGGAGGUUAAGCAACACUGAUGCCCUGCAGGCUGUCUCCCAGGCUCUUCUGUCAUCUAUGUCAAUAGAAGCAGGGCCGCUGAGCUCUACCUGUCCCUCCUGUCUUGCCAUCUGAACUCCGUCACUCCUCGCCUCCCCAUUCCACGGAAUGCAGAAGGAACCCAGCUGAUGCUCACAACAGUACCUCUGACCUGGUACCCACACUCAGUCUCGGAGAACCUGCUCUCUCGUCAGAGUCCUUUCUGCUGGGACUGACACCCAUCUCCAGGCCUUUCCUGGUCUAUCUAAGAGGAUGGGUCUGUUCACAGACUACCAAUAUCUCAGAACCCCCAUCUCAGGGUGGUCAAGGACCCUUCUGAGCCCGGCUGUGUCUCUAGAACACAGGUUUUUUGGUUUUUUUCCUCUCCUUCUGAAGUGCUGGACUAUCUCCUAACCUCCUUUUGUUUGUGUUUUGCCUAAGCUGACCGUGAAACCUCUGGAGCCAAGGAUGUCUUUAAAUCUAGAUGGUCUUGCCUCAGCCUCUCUGGUACUUGAGAUGACAGACUUGCACCACCAGAGACAAUCAUCCCGUCCCGUCCCGUGUCGUGUCGUCCCCCCCCCCCCCUCCCCGUUACACCACCACCCCACCUGCUGUGCCUCAGCCAUCUCCAGGAUCUUACUAUGUAACCCUGACUGGUCUUAGAACCCCUAGG